GUGCUCUUCCUAUCUGGGAGACCAUGGGCCCAUAAACAUCCUUCCAUUGUUUGCAUUGGCCUUAGCCUGUCUCUGCCCCAUCUUUUUUCCCUGUGUCUGUGGAGGCCCUG